rnacentral:rRNA from 1 species
UCUUGGACAUAAAUUAACGUAAGUUUACCAGAGUACUAUGAACUCACAAAUAAAUUUAAAACUCAAAGGGCUUGGCGGUGUUUUAGACCUCUCAGGGGAACCUGUCUCAUAAUCGACAAUCCACGAUAAACCUAACCUUUUUUUGCCAUUUCAGUUUGUAUACCGUCGUCGUCAGGUAACUUUUAAAAAACAAGAAGUUAGCAAUAAAAUAAUUAUAAAUUCAAACGUCAGAUCAAGGUGCAGCUUAUAUAAAGGUGAGGAUGGGUUACAAUUAUAAAUCAUAAUUACGGAUAAGUGAUUUAAAUAUUCAUCUUAAGAAGGAGGACUUGAAAGUAAAAUAAAUUUAUAUAAAUAACUUGAAUAAGGCUCUGAAACAUGC